AGAGAGAGACAUGCGCGCAUAUCAAUAAGCGGAGGAAAAGAAACUAACAAGGAUUCCCCUAGUAACGGCGAGUGAAGCGGGAAGAGCUCAAAUUUGAAAUCUUAAAGGGUUUCCCUUUACGAAUUGUAGUUUGAAGAAGUGUUUUCUGUUGAGGUUUUGGUAAAAGUUCUUUGGAAUAGGACAUCAUAGAGGGUGAGAAUCCCGUAUUUGACCUUUACUUUCAACUUUGUGAUACACUUUCAAAGAGUCGGAUUGUUUGGGAAUGCAGUCCAAAAUGGGUGGUAAAUUUCAUCUAAAGCUAAAUAUUGGCGAAGAGACCGAUAGCGAACAAGUACCGUGAGGGAAAGAUGAAAAGAACUUUGAAAAGAGAGUUAAACAGUACGUGAAAUUGUCAAAAGGGAAGCGUUUGACACCAGUGUUGUUUUUCUGAAAAUCAAUUAAAGAACUGUUUAUGCUAAGUUGUUUAGACUUUAUCAGCUAACUGUUUAGUUUUGAGCUUUUCUUUAAUGCACUUUUCAGUUAACAAGUCAACAUCAAUUUCUUUUGCUGUAAAAAAGCUUGAGGAAGGUGGCUUGAGAUUCGUCUUAAGUGUUUAUAGCCUCUUGCCUAUGCAGUCGGAGAGAUUGAGGUCUGCAGCGUAGAUCCUUCGGGGCUAAAUGCAUUUGUGCUAAGUUAUAGCAUUUUAUAGACAACUUGUUGACUAUGAUUUGUCUUGUAGCUUACUCGCUUAUGUUAUUUUACCUACGCUUAGGAUGUUGACGCAUGAGAUAUACGC
rnacentral:rRNA from 1 species